rnacentral:piRNA from 1 species
UCAACUUAUGGAGACUCACCAUAGUCUGGCC